GCGCGUGCGUGCGUGUGCGUGUGUGUGUGUGCUUGCCUGCAUGUGUGAGUGUUACAGUCUGUCUGUUACAAUGAGAGGUACAAUGAGAGGGUGUGUGUCCAGCACGGAUCCUGCCCAAAGCACUCAUUUCACUCCACAGACAGUGAGCAUCAUGGCCUGCCUGUCCUGAGUCCUGAACCCGGAGUGUCAUCUGGUAGAGAACUCAACUGCUGGUGUAUCCUGGAAGUGUUUUUGAGUGGAUCGAGCUGCCGCUGUCUGCUAACCUGUGAACUGAACUGCCAAUUUCCAGACAACACAGAUGGGAGUUGCUCCAAAGAACCUUUCUAAACAGACUCAGGACGUGCCGCAGCAUCAGUGGAUCCAUGCGUACUUGCGCUCUUGUGCCUGGCUUCCUUCAUUUCAAAGUGUUUCCAAGGCUCCUUCAGGCUGUGCUUUAUUCAGCUCAUACUUCAUUCCUUUUGAAGGCUGAAUAGUACUCCAUAUUUGUUCAUAUAAUCUAUUUGUUGAUGGACAUUUGAGCUGUUUCCACUUUGGGGAUAUUAUGAACAGUACUUUUGAAUAUUGGAGAAGGAGUGUGUGUGUGUGUGUGUGUGUGUGUGUGUGUGUGUGUAGUGAAAGCACCUGUUUUCAAUUUUUUUUUUUUUUACAUAUAGAAUAGAAGUAGAAUGACUGGGUCAUUCAGCAAUUCUACAUUGAGCUUCAUGGAAAACCAACAUGGCUUUUGUUUGCCUAUGUUGUGUUUCCCUGCGGUGUUAGGAGCUGACAUGGCAUCCCAGGCUGCCAUUCUCUUACUGAGCUAUGUCCUUGGGCCUCUUCUUACUUUCGAUUUUGAGGCAGUAUCUCACCAAGCUGUCAGACCUGGCCCUGAACUUUCCCUCCAUCCCCAGCUUCCUGAGCUGCUAAGACCACGGGCCUACAUUGCUGGGCCCAGCCACAAGUACAGCUUGUGAGGCACUUCACUUGCAAACAUCCACAGCCUUUUCCUCAGCACGAGAACACCAUGAUGAAGGACAGAGGGACAUGAGGAAUAAGACCUUUAAGAUCCUGGAAGCCAACCUGUUUAUGUUUUUAUGUUUUAUUUUGUUACGUUGCAGAUAGGGAAUGUGUUUGUGUUUGUGGCACAUGUUCGCGGUGGGUGCAUGUGUGUGUGGGUUUGUGUCCUGUGCUUAUAAGCAAAGCAGAGGCGUAGAAUUCCCUCCUCUGUGGGUCUCAAGGCUCUUGCUGACCCAGAAGUGUGGCUGUUAGGUUAUCUGGCCAGUGACAUCUCGGGACAACCCGUAAUGCUGGGUUUACAGACACAUGGCAGUUAGGCCCAGCUUUUUACAUGGUGUGGGUGCUGGAGAUUCAAACUCUAAUCCUCAUGCUUGCAAAGCAAGUGUUCUUAUACACCCAGCCUUCUUCCUGUCCCUGCCACGGGAGCUUUUCCUACCAUGGUACAGUCUAUCGUGACACAGCAUUCGGUACUUGUAUAAAGUGCCCUGGGAUUUACAGAGCAAACUCCUCCCCCCCAGCUCACCCUGGGAGCGAGAAGGGGCUGGGAUGAAGAAUUACCAUGAACCCAACUCCCACAGUGUUGCAGAGCAUAAGUAGGAGGGGAUUGUGGGUAAUGGGAGAUUUGCAUUUCAAUCUCCAAAUACAAAUUAAACCAAAAGUUGUCAUCAAAGAAAAGAUGAAGAUGAGGAUCAAGAUGAUUCCACAGUUCUAGAAAAGAAGAGAUUAAAAAAAGGGAAUUGAAUGCGUCUUUAAAGAUGUUUUAAAAGUGUUAAUGCAGACUAAUGCAGUUAAUGAAGGCUAGGCGGGGUAAAU